UUCGCCCUUAGGGUUUGAUUAUGGCUCAGGAUGAACGCUGGCGGCGUGCCUAAUACAUGCAAGUCGAGCGAACAGAUAAGGAGCUUGCUCCUUUGACGUUAGCGGCGGACGGGUGAGUAACACGUGGGUAACCUACCUAUAAGACUGGAAUAACUCCGGGAAACCGGGGCUAAUGCCGGAUAACAUAUAGAACCGCAUGGUUCUAUAGUGAAAGAUGGUUUUGCUAUCACUUAUAGAUGGACCCGCGCCGUAUUAGCUAGUUGGUAAGGUAACGGCUUACCAAGGCGACGAUACGUAGCCGACCUGAGAGGGUGAUCGGCCACACUGGAACUGAGACACGGUCCAGACUCCUACGGGAGGCAGCAGUAGGGAAUCUUCCGCAAUGGGCGAAAGCCUGACGGAGCAACGCCGCGUGAGUGAUGAAGGGUUUCGGCUCGUAAAACUCUGUUAUUAGGGAAGAACAUAUGUGUAAGUAACUGUGCACAUCUUGACGGUACCUAAUCAGAAAGCCACGGCUAACUACGUGCCAGCAGCCGCGGUAAUACGUAGGUGGCAAGCGUUAUCCGGAAUUAUUGGGCGUAAAGCGCGCGUAGGCGGUUUCUUAAGUCUGAUGUGAAAGCCCACGGCUCAACCGUGGAGGGUCAUUGGAAACUGGGAAACUUGAGUGCAGAAGAGGAAAGUGGAAUUCCAUGUGUAGCGGUGAAAUGCGCAGAGAUAUGGAGGAACACCAGUGGCGAAGGCGACUUUCUGGUCUGUAACUGACGCUGAUGUGCGAAAGCGUGGGGAUCAAACAGGAUUAGAUACCCUGGUAGUCCACGCCGUANACGAUGAGUGCUAAGUGUUANNGGGGUUUCCGCCCCUUAGUGCUGCAGCUAACGCAUUAAGCACUCCGCCUGGGGAGUACGACCCGCAGGGUGAAACUCAAANGAAUUGACGGGGAUCCGCACNAAGCGUGGAGCAUGUGGUUUAAAUUCGAAGCACGCGAAGAACCUUACCAAAUCUGACAUCCUUNGACACUCUAGAGAUAGAGCUUCCCCUUCGGGGACAAGUGACAGUGNUGCAUGGU
rnacentral:rRNA from 1 species